AAUCUUGCGCAAUGGGCGAAAGCCUGACGCAGCCAUGCCGCGUGACUGAUGAAGGUAUUAGGAUUGUAAAAUUCUUUCACCGGGGACGAUAAUGACGGUGCUCGGAGAAUAACCCCCGCCUAUCUCCGUGCCAGCAGCCGCGGUAAUACCAAGGGAGCUAGCGUUGCUCGGAAUUACUGGGCGUAAAGGGCGCGUAGGCGGAUCGUUAAGUCAGGGGUGAAAUCCCGGGGCUCAACCUCGGAACUGCCCUUGAUACUGGCGAUCUUGAGUAUGAGAGAGGUAUGUGGAACUCCGAGUGUAGAGGUGAAAUUCGUAGAUAUUCGGAAGAACACCAGUGGCGAAGGCGACAUACUGGCUCACUACUGACGCUGAGGCGCGAAAGCGUGGGGAGCAAACA
rnacentral:rRNA from 1 species